rnacentral:rRNA from 1 species
AAUGAACGCUGGCGGCAGGCCUAACACAUGCAAGUCGAACGGAUCCUUCGGGAUUAGUGGCGGACGGGUGAGUAACGCGUGGGAACAUACCCAAAGGUACGUAAUAGCCUCGGGAAACUGGGAGUAAUACCGUAUGUGCUAGAAAGAGGAAAGAUUUAUCGCCUUUGGAUUGGCCCGCGUUGGAUUAGGUAGUUGGUGGGGUAAUGGCCUACCAAGCCGACGAUCCAUAGCUGGUUUGAGAGGACGAUCAGCCACACUGUGACUGAGACACGGCCCAGACUCCUACGGGAGGCAGCAGUGGGGAAUCUUAGACAAUGUGGGAGACCUUGAUCUAGCCAUGCCGCGUGAUCGAUGAAGGCCUUAGGGUUGUAAAGAUCUUUCAGGUGGGAAGAUAAUGACUGUGCCACCAGAAGAAGCCCCGGCUAACUCCGGGCCAGCCGCCGCCGUAA